CUGCUGCCUCCCGUAGGAGUUUGGGCCGUGUCUCAGUCCCAAUGUGGCCGUUCACCCUCUCAGGCCGGCUACUGAUCGUCGCCUUGGUGGGCCGUUACCCCUCCAACCAGCUAAUCAGACGCGGGUCCAUCCUGUACCACCGGAGUUUUUCACACUGUACCAUGCGGUACUGUGCGCUUAUGCGGUUUUAGCACCUAUUUCUAAGUGUUAUCCCCCUGUACAGGGCAGGUUACCCACGCGUUACUCACCCGUCCGCCACUAAGAUAAA
rnacentral:rRNA from 1 species